AGAAACACUAAUAGGGAAAUUAAACAAAGCAAUGGUAACAGCAUCUUUCAGCAACAUGUAAAACAUUUUCCUGUUCAACAAAAAUUUUAGCAUAUGCACAUUAUGCUAUCAUCUUCAAUGCAAUGAAAACAAGUCCUAAGCUUAAUUGACUCAUGUUCACAUGCAGAUUAUCGAAAGUUUAGCUCAGAGAUAUCAGCACAUACAACUCACACAAGACAUCUCCUGCACAAAUCGAUAAGCAUUUCCUCAUAUAGGUUGCAUUUAGGACAAGAAUAUCAAAGCAAAAUUAAGUUAGUACAAGUAUAUCACGCAAUAUACAUUUAUAUAAUAUAUACAUUAUAAUAUAUUAAUACACAAUAUAUCAUAUAAGCAACAGA
rnacentral:misc_RNA from 1 species